rnacentral:rRNA from 1 species
AGCAGCCGCGGUAAUUCCAGCUCCAAUAGCGUAUAUUAAAGUUGUUGCAGUUAAAAAGCUCGUAGUUGAAUUUCGGGGUCAGCAAGUUGGUCGUGCCACUGGUAUGCACUGGCUUUGCUGAUUCCUCCUUCUUGUAGAACCGUAAUGCCAUUAAGUUGGUGUUGCGGGGAAACAGGACUGUUACUUUGAAAAAUUAGAGUGUUUAAAGCAGGCUAACGCUUGAAUACAUUAGCAUGGAAUAAUGAAAUAGGACGACGAUCCUAUUUUGUUGGUUUCUAGGAUUUGACGUAAUGAUUAAUAGGGAUAGUUGGGGGCAUUAGUAUUCAAUUGUCAGAGGUGAAAUUCUUGGAUUUAUUGAAGACUAACUACUGCGAAAGCAUUUGCCAAGGAUGUUUUCAUUAAUCAAGAACGAAAGUUAGGGGAUCGAAGACGAUCAGAUACCGUCGUAGUCUUAACCAUAAACUAUGCCG